CGGAUUGAUACUAAGCCAUGCGAGUCGUUGUAGCAAUACAAGGCAUACGGCUCAGUAACGCGUAGUCAACCUAACCUAUGGACGGGAAUAACCUCGGGAAACUGAGAAUAAUGCCCGAUAGAACAUUAUGCCUGGAAUGGUUUAUGUUCCAAAUGAUUUAUCGCCAUAGGAUGGGACUGCGGCCUAUCAGUUUGUUGGUGAGGUAAUGGCCCACCAAGACUAUUACAGGUACGGGCUCUGAGAGGAGUAGCCCGGAGAUGGGUACUGAGACACGGACCCAGGCCCUAUGGGGCGCAGCAGGCGAGAAAACUUUGCAAUGUGCGAAAGCACGACAAGGUUAAUCCGAGUGAUUUCUGCUAAAGAGAUCUUUUGUUAGUCCUAGAAACACUAACGAAUAAGGGGUGGGCAAGUUCUGGUGUCAGCCGCCGCGGUAAAACCAGCACCUCAAGUGGUCAGGAUGAUUAUUGGGCCUAAAGCAUCCGUAGCCGGCUCUGUAAGUUUUCGGUUAAAUCUGUACGCUCAACGUACAGGCUGCCGGAAAUACUGCAGAACUAGGGAGUGGGAGAGGUAGACGGUACUCGGUAGGAAGUGGUAAAAUGCUUUGAUCUAUCGAUGACCACCUGUGGCGAAGGCGGUCUACCAGAACACGUCCGACGGUGAGGGAUGAAAGCUGGGGGAGCAAACCGGAUUAGAUACCCGGGUAGUCCCAGCUGUAAACUAUGCAAACUCAGUGAUGCAUUGGCUUGUGGCCAAUGCAGUGCUGCAGGGAAGCCGUUAAGUUUGCCGCCUGGGAAGUACGUACGCAAGUAUGAAACUUAAAGGAAUUG
rnacentral:rRNA from 1 species